rnacentral:rRNA from 1 species
GAUGAACGCUGGCGGCGUGCCUAAUACAUGCAAGUCGAGCGAACGGACGAGAAGCUUGCUUCUCUGAUGUUAGCGGCGGACGGGUGAGUAACACGUGGAUAACCUACCUAUAAGACUGGGAUAACUUCGGGAAACCGGAGCUAAUACCGGAUGAUAUUUUGAACCGCAUGGUUCAAAAGUGAAAGACGGUCUUGCUGUCACUUAUAGAUGGAUCCGCGCUGCAUUAGCUAGUUGGUAAGGUAACGGCUUACCAAGGCAACGAUGCAUAGCCGACCUGAGAGGGUGAUCGGCCACACUGGAACUGAGACACGGUCCAGACUCCUACGGGAGGCAGCAGUAGGGAAUCUUCCGCAAUGGGCGAAAGCCUGACGGAGCAACGCCGCGUGAGUGAUGAAGGUCUUCGGAUCGUAAAACUCUGUAUUUAGGGAAGAACAUAUGUGUAAGUAACUGUGCACAUCUUGACGGUACCUAAUCAGAAAGCCACGGCUAACUACGUG